GACGAACGCUGGCGGCGUGCUUAACACAUGCAAGUCGAACGAUGAACCCGCUUCGGUGGGGGAUUAGUGGCGAACGGGUGAGUAACACGUGGGCAAUCUGCCCUUCACUCUGGGACAAGCCCUGGAAACGGGGUCUAAUACCGGAUACGACCACUGAGGGCAUCUUCAGUGGUGGAAAGCUCCGGCGGUGAAGGAUGAGCCCGCGGCCUAUCAGCUUGUUGGUGGGGUAAUGGCCUACCAAGGCGACGACGGGUAGCCGGCCUGAGAGGGCGACCGGCCACACUGGGACUGAGACACGGCCCAGACUCCUACGGGAGGCAGCAGUGGGGAAUAUUGCACAAUGGGCGAAAGCCUGAUGCAGCGACGCCGCGUGAGGGAUGACGGCCUUCGGGUUGUAAACCUCUUUCAGCAGGGAAGAAGCGAAAGUGACGGUACCUGCAGAAGAAGCGCCGGCUAACUACGUGCCAGCAGCCGCGGUAAUACGUAGGGCGCAAGCGUUGUCCGGAAUUAUUGGGCGUAAAGAGCUCGUAGGCGGCUUGUCACGUCGGAUGUGAAAGCCCGGGGCUUAACCCCGGGUCUGCAUUCGAUACGGGCAGGCUAGAGUGUGGUAGGGGAGAUCGGAAUUCCUGGUGUAGCGGUGAAAUGCGCAGAUAUCAGGAGGAACACCGGUGGCGAAGGCGGAUCUCUGGGCCAUUACUGACGCUGAGGAGCGAAAGCGUGGGGAGCGAAC
rnacentral:rRNA from 1 species